rnacentral:rRNA from 1 species
AUUGAACGCUGGCGGCAUGCCUUACACAUGCAAGUCGAACGGUAACGGGCCUUCGGGUGCCGACGAGUGGCGAACGGGUGAGUAAUACAUCGGAACGUGCCCGAUCGUGGGGGAUAACGAGGCGAAAGCUUUGCUAAUACCGCAUACGAUCUACGGAUGAAAGCCGGGGACCGGAAGGCCUUGCGCGGACGGAGCGGCCGGUGGCAGGUGAGGUAGUUGGUGGGAUAAAAGCUUACCAAGCCGGCGAUCUGUAGCUGGUCUGAGAGGAGGAUCAGCCACACUGGGACUGAGACACGGCCCAGAGUCCUACGGGAGGCAGCAGUGGGGAAUUUUGGACAAUGGGCGCAAGCCUGAUCCAGCCAUGCCGCGUGCAGGAUGAAGGCCUUCGGGUUGUAAACUGCUUUUGUACGGAACGAAAAGCCUUCUUUUAAUACAGGAGGGUCAUGACGGUACCGUAAGAAUAAGCACCGGCUAACUACGUG